rnacentral:rRNA from 1 species
AACCUGCCCUUCAGAGGGGGACAACAGUUGGAAACGACUGCUAAUACCGCAUACGAUCUAAUCUCGGCAUCGAGGAAAGAUGAAAGGUGGCCUCUAUUUAUAAGCUAUCACUGAAGGGGGGGAGUUGCGUCUGAUUAGCUAGUUGGAGGGGUAACGGCCCACCAAGGCGAUGAUCAGUAGCCGGUCUGAGAGGAUGAACGGCCACAUUGGGACUGAGACACGGCCCAG